CAGCUUUUAAUUUUCUUUUUUCAGAUGGUAUAAACGCUAGGCUAAGAUGGAUAAAAGACAUAAAGGUUUGAUCGACUCCAACCUGAGCAAGUUGGUUGGUUUGGUCAACUAUGACGAGAUUAAACCUCAUCUUCUUAAUCUCAGGAUAUUCCCGUCUACUCAGCUAAAACGGAUUGAGGAACGUUCCAACCCCUGCUUAGAAAUGUUCCUGGAGAUACAGAGGCGAGGUCCUACUGCGUUCCGUCGUCUUCUUUCCUGUCUCAACCUUGCUGGACAAUAUGAAGCCCUGGAUGUACUAAGUAAGGACGGAGAACUAAGUUUCCUUGAUAACUCCGUCCUACUGGAGAAAGCUCCGUUGAACCUACCAACCUUUACACAGACACUAGAUCUCACAGAUUCACCUAUACAACCAAACCAAAUCUCAAUUCUGCAAGCUACAGUGUUCCAUGAGGAGGAUAGGAUGACCUAUAAGAUGACCUCCUCACCCCGCGGGUUUGCUCUAAUAGUUGAUAACGAAGAAUAUGACACACUUCCUCCUAGGCGUGGUUCACAUGUAGACUCCGGUUGUUUAGCGCAGUUAUUUCAGCAGCUCGGAUUCUGGGUGAUUAUUAAGAGAAACCUUGGAAGGGCGAGCCUAGAGUAUGAAAUAACCAGCUUUGCCACAGAUAACUUCCAUGUGAACCUGGAUAUGGCUGUUGUAUGUAUACUCUCUCACGGAGAGAACGGGACGAUUGUUUGCAGGAACGGAGAGAAGGUUGAGGUGGAAUCCGUCCUUCAAAAAUUUAACAAUAUUGAAGCUCCGUCCUUGCGGGGUAAACCUAAAUAUUUCCUAAUUCAAUCUUGUCGCGGUCUCGAGGUAGAUCUAGGAGUACAAACCGAUGGUCCUGAACCAGGAGAGAAUAAUGUAGAUAUCAACGGUAUCCUGCUCAGUAACUUCUCCGCUCCUUCUCCCUUUAAUCUCUCCCGAAAUCCGUCCUACGAGGAUAUGAUUGUCUCUUACGCAACUAUUCCUGGGUUUGUUGCGUAUAGGAACAAUGUGAGAGGAUCAUGGUUCGUUCAAUCCUUGUGCAAGGUGUUCAUGGAGUACAGUCAUGUGGAGGAUCUGGUUAGUCUCCUCUACAGGGUUAGUCAGGAGCUAAAAACAUACUGUACUAUAAAGGGAGAGAAACAAAUAAAUGAAACCUUGCUGCGAGGUGUUUACAAAAAAGUGUUUUUCAACCCUGGUCUUGCGGAUCGAAACCGAGUUCUAAUGGUUGAGCGUGGUUCAGUGUCCUCAAUGUCUAGUAUGCAUAGAGCAGGAGAUGUAAACAACUCCCAGAGUAUGGAUCAAACCAGUUCUCAGGUUCAUACAGAGAUAUUUGAUCGAAUCUGGAGUCAGCAGGUUUAACCUGGAUUAUGUAAUCUAACCUACUCAGUUCUCAGGUUCAUACAGAGAUAUUUGAUCAGAUCUGGAGUCAGCAGGUUUAACCUGGAUUAUGUAAUCUAACCUACUAAGUACUCAGUACUCAGUACUCAAUACUUAUCACUUAAGUGUUAGAGUUACUUGUCAUCUUUUCUGGGGUGUUGGCGUAAGCCUGACGCCCAACCGCCAACCUGUAGGGUCAGGAACUGAUCUUCGCUAUUAAGCGCACUGGCUCCGAUAGACAGGGAUCGCAGCGGGAAAGCGCCAGUUAUUCGAUCCUUCUCUACUCCUCUCUACGAUUCUAGUAUCGAUGCAGACAUAAAGAGAGUAUUCCCGAUAAUGAAACGUAAAUAGAGAAUGAAUCGCAUCUGGUACUAAUAUAUCUAUAUUCGAUGCAUUUAUGAAUCCACUAUUUAGAAGCAUCGGAUCAGGAAUAAACCAAAUAAUUCAUCAUUUGAUAAAUGAAAUUUGUCUGAUACCGCCACAUCGCGCUUUUUUAUUUGACCCUUCAAAAAAUUUGAACUCCACGUGAUAAAAUUGAACUCCACGUGAUAAAUUUGAACUCCACGUGAUAAAUUUGAACUCCACGUGAUAAAUUUGAACUCUACGUGAUAAAUUUGAACUCCACGUGAUAAAUUUGAACUCCACGUGAUAAAUUUGAACUCCACGUAAUAAAUUUGAACUCCACGUGAUAAAAUUGGACUCCACGUGAUAAAUGUCCCAAAACCUUCCUACUAUUUGCAUUUUCCCAUGCUAUUUGAUAAAUCUUAAAUGUUCUUUAGCUGAAGCCUUAAUAUUUUUAAGCCUUUAGAGGGCCGGGUAUUUUAUUUUCUCCAUAAAUUAUCCCCCCUUUAAAAAAGAAAUGUUAAAGGUCACGUGUAAAAAGUUACGGCUAUGGUUCUCAUCGGGGGAGAUUUACAACCAACAAACGAAAGCAUAUCCCCCCCCCUAAUAAAAAAUCGCAAAGAUUCAGUCUCUCCUCCUCCCUCCCUUCCCCGAGUAAAUGUUUGUAAAAGCUCCCUGAUUAUAAAAAGCUGAACUAUUAUCACAACCAAUUUUCAUGUACGUGAUCGACAUUUUUUAAAAUUUAUUUGUUGUACAGGUUUUAAAUUUGGGUUCAUAGAUUUAGUACGAGGAAAGGAAGAUAUUCGAUUAAAUAGUCCAAGAUUGUACCCUAAGAAAAGGUCAAUUCAUAAAGUAGAAAAAACUAUUUGUUGACAAUAUUGUUAUAUCCCGUUUAUCUAGAAAAGGGAUAACAUAAAUAAAAAUGUACAUAUUUUAUAAAAAAAAUAUAGAUAUAUUGAAUAAUUGUGAUAAAGUUGUUGCAAUACAAAUAUAUUAUAUCCCUUGAGAAA
rnacentral:misc_RNA from 1 species